rnacentral:lncRNA from 1 species
GGGCUGCACCCCCAGAUAUGGAAGUUCCCAGGCCAGGGGAAGAAUUGGAGCCUUAGCCUCUGGCCUACACCACAGCCAUAGCACAGCCAGAUUUGAGCCGUGUCUGUGACCCACAGACCACACCACAGCUGAAAGCAACACCAGAUCUUUAACCCACUGAAUGAGGCCAGGGAUCAAACCCGAAUCUUCAUGGAUACUAGUCAGGUUCUUAACCAGCUGAGCCACAGCGGGAACUCACCAAGAUAUUUUUUUUAAGGAGGAAAAAGAAUAAAUGCACAUCUUUUAAUAUUUUCAUCCCAACCUGAUGUAUCAAGUUUGAAUGUUCAGAUUAUAUUUAUCCUCCUCCUCACUUGAGUGUUGUUGAUUUUGGCUAGCUAUUAGAAAAACAACCUAAAUUUAUUUUAACAUGUGGUUGACCAAUAGUUUCAUGCUUCUCAGGGAUGUUUCUGAUUUAGAAGAAGAGAGUUUUUAAAUCACAUGGAAUCCUCAUUGGUGAAGUUUCAAGCAGUUCGAAAAGGAUUUUGCAGGCAGUAUGUAUGUGAUCAUUUGAUUAAAGUGUGCCCAGGAAGCCAAAGACAAUUAAAGGUUUUUUAAUUCAUAUCCCUGACAAAAAAGAGAAAGUGGCCAUACCAGUCACAACAAGCUUCUUCCUGGAGUUUGACACCCAGAGGGCUUCCUGGAAUCUGCCUGUUGGAAAACUAAGAGAGGACAAGUUCAAGUACAGAAAGGAACAGAACUGCUGAGCUUUAAACCAGAGUAGUUUAAAUUGUGGUUAUGACACAUCUGUUAAAAAGACACAACAGAUGACAUUUGCUUUAUGCAGGGAUGUUUGCUAAAAGUAAAGACUCCAGAGACCCCUCCUUCCCCCAAAUCUACUAAAUCAUACUCUGUAGACAUGGACCAUAUUUGAGCACUGCAGCUUCAUUGACUUAAUCUCCCAGCCUUCCUCCUCCCAGUAACUGGUAAGAAGGGAAUCUCAAACCAGAAGUGUAUUUUCUUGGAACACCCAAGCCCCAAGCAAUCUUUGAGCAGUCAAGCCCAGUGUUCUCCUUUUAAAAGAUCUUUGAAAAGGGCUUUAAAGCCUCAUCCUGCCUGGACCUUAUCCCAGAAAUGCUUUCCUAAUCCAUUUCCUAGGGGCUCUUCCUCACUCCUGGCGCAGCCCCACACUUGUUUUAUGCUGAGCAUUAGCCUCUGCUCUGGGACCCUGCGCUAGUGAAGUAUAUUCCUCUCUCACUGUAACUAAUGCCUCUUGGUUUUUUGGGGAUAAGUCAGUAUAGUGGAUUCUCAGAGCUCUAUUCAUUCGUUUUUGUAAAAAAAAAUAAUAAUCGUAAAAUUUAUGGAGCACACCUUUUGAGCCCAACACCUUUCUAGGUACUGGUAAUUCAGAAGAGAAUAAAAGAGGGCAAAAUGGAGCUUUCUUUCUACAAGUGGAUCUAGGCAAAUAAGAUAUAUCUUUCAGGUUGUGAAAUUGAGCAUCGAAGAGAAAAAGCAUGAAAAGGAAAAAUGUAUGUUGAGGGGGUUGGGGAGAGAGCAGCUGAGAGGUUGCAAUUUUAGAUAAAGUGGGCUGGGAAGGUCUCCCUGAGAAGGUGAGUUUUGAGUGAAGCUCUAAGGGAUAUGAAAAACAAAUAUAAACAAACAAAGGAAAACAAACGAGCUCCGUGGGAAUGGGGGUGGUGGACAGUGUUCUAGGAAGAGGGUCCCAAGUUAGAAAGUUCCGGAAGGUUACUGUGAUUGGAGUGAACUGAGUGAGGAUAAGGGAGAGUGAGUGGGUGCUUUGAGGUGAGAGUGGUGAGCAGACGCCAGGUCAUGGAGUCCCUUGGACACCUUGGCUUUUAUAUUAAGUGAGCCCCUGGAGAAGUUUGGAAGAAAGAAGAGCCAUGGUCUGCUUAUAUUUUUAAAAAGAUUCCUCUUGGCACUAAGUUAAGAAGUUUACAAAUCGGAACUAAAAUGGGGGAGAUAAGUUACCAUGAGCAGGUGAGAGCUAACCAGGUAGAGGCAGUGGAGGUGCUGUCAAGUGAGUCUGGUACAUUUUGAAAUUAAAACCAUCAGGAUUAGAUCUCCUUAUGUGAGGUUAUAAGACAAGGGCAAGAGCCAAGGAAGAACCAACUAUUAUCAGCUUAACUAGAAGAAGGGAAUUGGCAUUUAAUGAGAUGGAAAUACUGUGAAAGGUGAAGGCUUUAUGAGCAAGUCAAAUUUGAUGUGUCUAUUUGACAUCUUAAAAUUGAGAUGUCAAGUAGGGACUUGGAAGAAUGAGUCCAAGGGCGAGGUCUGCCUUGGGCAUGGAAAUUUGGAUUCUAGAAUACAUGUUAUCAGUUGAAGUCAUGAGAUUUGAUAGGACUACACAUGGACUCUGUGGAUGUGGAAGAAAUCCCAAGACUAGGCUUUGAGUCACUUUAUUUUUUAUUUUUUUAAUGUAGCCUAUUAUUUUAUUGGUUUUAUUUUAUUUUAUUUUUUUGGCCAUAGCAUUCAACAGCUUAAUGUGGGAUUUCAGAUCUCAGACCAGGGCUUGAACCCAGACCUGACAGUGAAAGCACCGGAUCCUAAUCACUAGACCACCAGGGAACUCCCUGAGUCACUUUCUUUUUAAAAGUUGAGAAGAUGAGGGACCUUACAAAGGAGACAAAAAACAAACAAACAAACAAAAAAACAAAAAACAAACCAAGAACCCAAAACUGGGAGAAUGGGAGUUCCCAUCAUGGCACAUUGGAAACGAAUCUGACUAGAAACCAUGAAGCUUUGGGUUUGAUCCCUGGCCUUGCUCAGUAGGUUAAGGAUCUGGUGUUGCUGUGAGCUGUGGUGUAGGUCGCAGAUGUGGCUCAGAUCCUGCGUUGCUGUGGCUCUGGUGUAGGCUGGCAGCUGCAGCUCUGUUUAAACCCCUGGCCUGGGAACCUCUGUUUGCCGCAGGUGCGGCCCUACAAAAAAGACAAAGGAAAAAAAGAAUGUUCGGCUGUGUCUGAUGCUACUGAAAGGUGAAAAAAGAUGAGCAGCAGGAACUGACUGUUAGCUAUGGCAACAUAGAGGUUAUAGUGACCAUUAUUAGAGUAAAUUUGCUAGAAUAGUGGGGGUGACGUGUUUGUUGCAAGAGGUUCAAGAGAGAAUGGGAGAAGAGAAAUUGGAGACAGGAAGUUAGGGGGUUACACCACAGUUCUUCAGUAAAGGGAAGAGAGAAAUAGAGAGUAGCAGGAGAGCAAAGUGGGAACAGUAGAGAAGGGGUUAUUUUGUUUGUUCUUAAGGGUGAAUGAAUAAAAGUGUGUCUGUUUGCCAGGGAGAUGAUUUGGUAAAGAAGGAAAAGAGAGGGUGAAAUUGCUGAAGCAAUGCCCUUGAGUAGGCAAAAGGAGAUGGGAGCUGGGCAAAAGUGGAGAAGUUGCUCUAAUCUAGACACACAGACAGCUCAUCCAUGGUCAUGUGAGUUGGUAAAUAAUGGGUCAAAGAGGUAGAUAAUCACAGAUUUUCAUAGGGUACAGUUCAUGAUGCAGGGUCUUUUUUUCAUGUUAAUGUUUGAAAAGAAAAUGGGAAUGCUGGUUUAUGACAUUGUUUUGUAGAGGAACAGUGAAUGGUGUGGAAAGAGAGCAGAGUUCCAGACAGUGUGGAGAUCUUGGUUAAUUUGUUACAUAUGACUCUUUUUAUAGUCAACUUGUAGAAAUAGAGAAUUCUUUUUCCAGUUUGGUUUAAUUAAACCAUGAAACACUGAAUGUUCAUGAUUACCAAGACCCCACCCCUGCCCCUGCCUUCAGGGAGUUGCCUAUCUGGUGGGACAAGCCCCAAAGUAUGGUGACCAUAUUAUCUAAAUAAAAAUCAGGACUGAUGACCCCACCCAUGGGCUGACAACAGAAAAGAAUAUUUAACAUGAGGGCCAUCCAGGGAUGUUCAGGGCAUAUGUUUGCCAUUAUUGUAAUUAGUACCAGAUGUUUUUAAGUGCUGAACUAGAGAAAUAAACAUUGUUACAGGAGAACAGAAGAGCAAAUGCUCAACUUUGCCUGGGAGGUGUGGGAAAGCAAAGUUAUGGCUUUGAAAAUUACUGAAACAGAGAGAGGGGCUGGAGUUAAGCCUGGCCAGGUAGAUGAGAGUCAUGGUGGAUGAAUUUUAUUCUAAGGAUCGUAUGUGGAUAUUAUUCUUUAAACAUCAAUGGUGACAUAAUCAUGUCUGUAUUGUAGGCAGAUAAAUCUGGUAGCUAUGUGGAACAGAGCUGGGCCGAAUUGGAGGUUGUAAACCAUUAAGUGUUCCCUGACAUAGCCCAGGCAAAAUGUAAUAAGGCAAUGACAAAGGGAAAUGGCAGUAAUGAUUGAGAGGAAGAAGUAGAUUCUAACGUGGUUUUUAGGGGAAGAAAAACAGGGCUUUGAGAAGUAGUUGGAAAGUAAGAGAAUAUAUAACAAUGAUGAUGAGGUUCUAUUUGGGGUAAAAGUUUGAUGCCAUUUGUCAAGAUACAGAAUACUGAGGAUGGGCAGUUUUGGUCGGGAGGUGAGCAAAAAUAAUGAGUUCAUUAUGUGCAUGUUGAGUGUUAGAUAAUUUCAAGCAGCUGGAAAGUCUGGGAUUUGUUUCUCUGACAUCUUUUCUUUCUCUUAGUGAACGCUAGAUUUAUCAUUUGAACUCAACAAAAGAAGAAAAAAA